GAUGAACGCUGGCGGCGUGCCUAAUACAUGCAAGUCGAGCGAACAGACGAGGAGCUUGCUCCUCUGACGUUAGCGGCGGACGGGUGAGUAACACGUGUAUAACCUACCUAUAAGACUGGGAUAACUUCGGGAAACCGGAUCUAAUACCGUAUAAUAUAUUGUACCGCAUGGUUCAAUAGUGAAAUACGGUUUUUCUGUCACUUAUAGAUGGAUCCGCGCCGCAUUAGCUAGUUGGUAAGGUAACGGCUUACCAAGGCAACGAUGCGUAGCCGACCUGAGAGGGUGAUCGGCCACACUGGAAGUGAGACACGGUCCAGACUCCUACGGGAGGCAGCAGUAGGGAAUAUUCCGCAAUGGGCGAAAGCCUGACGGAGCAACGCCGCGUGAGUGAUGAAGGUCUUCGGAUCGUAAAACUCUGUUAUUAGGGAAGAACAAAUGUGUAAGUAAAUAUGCACGUCUUGACGGUAACUAAUCAGAAAGCCACGGCUAACUACGUG
rnacentral:rRNA from 1 species